CGAGGGGUAGCGCACUUGUGGCCAGCACAGGGGGUCGCUGGUUCGAAUCCAGCCCCCUCGA
rnacentral:tRNA from 1 species